CUUGUGUUAGCUGUCACUAAUAUUUAUAAUAUUUACAAGAAUAUAACAAAAUGAUAUAUGAUGGCAGCUGUGCGUCAACUUCUGUUGACCAUCAUAACAGGAGAUCGGAGAAUUAGAUCCCUUCCGUUCAGCCUCCUAGGAGUUCGGUUUCGAUAUCUUUUGUGGUUGGUCGAGUGAUAUCUCUUUUUGACGUUAUAGUAAUAAUGAGUGAUGACUCCGAAAUAUGUAUGUAUAUUAUCUGCAAAAUACCUAUGGAUGCGCAUAAUUAGAUCAGUGCCUUUUUGGACCCACGACCAUUAAUUAUGUAUUUAAUUAUAUUGUCCACUCAACGUUAUGGUCCAAUUAAUUACAAAAUAAUUUCAAAUUAAAUCAUGUCAUUGCAAAACGGUAAA